rnacentral:sRNA from 1 species
AUAUUUAUGGGAAAUUUCCCAAUAUUCCAAUCACUGUAGUAGCAACAUUAGACAUGGCCUGCAUGCUGUCAGUUCUCUGUCCCACCUUAGGGGCCAGGUGGCAAAGAGGGUCUUUGGUGCAAUGCUGCCAAGUCGCUGUUUCUGGGUCUCCUGCCCUGCACCCCCUCCCCACUGUCCUGUCUCAGCAGCCAUGUGAUAGGGUGAGAGCUCUGGGGACACCUGCCAUGAACCCUAGUCCACAUGCUGGACUCUGACUCCAGGACUGUCACCCCUGGCCAUAGCUUCACCUCUCAUCCCUCCCUCCCAGGGCUGUUACACGGUGAUCCUCAACACCUUCGAAACCUACGUCUACUUGGCCGGAGCCCUUGCCAUCGGGGUACUGGCCAUUGAGCUUUUCGCCAUGAUCUUUGCCAUGUGCCUCUUCCGGGGCAUCCAGUAGAGGGUGUGGCCUGAAGCCUGAAGACUCGCCCCACCCACCACUGCCCAGCACCCAAUGUCCUCCCGUGCCCCUCCCUGCUGUCCUCUUGGCCCCAGGGGAGAAGAUGAGCCAUCAGAGAUGGCCAGGAGAAGGGUCAGGGGAAUAGAGCUAUUUUUUUAACAAAACAAAACGAAGACAAAAAUAUGGACUGACGUAUCCGCGCCUGGACUCAGGGCAGGUGCCAUGGGUUCUCCAGAGACCCCAGCACCUGGCCCAGGAUGCAGGCUGCUCUAGAGACCAAAGGAACACCAGGCCCAGCGCCCUCCUUGGUCCAGCCAGACCCUGGGCCCUCUCUCCUCACUGCACCAGGACCUGAUGCCAAGAAAGUGAGGAUUUAG